GACGUAGGGGGCGAGCGUUGUCCGGAUUUAUUGGGCGUAAAGCGCGCGUAGGCGGUCCGCCAAGUCGGAUGUGAAAACCCGGGGCUCAACCCCGGGCCUGCAUCCGAUACUGGCGGGCUAGAGGUCGGUAGGGGAGAGCGGAAUUCCUGGUGUAGCGGUGAAAUGCGCAGAUAUCAGGAGGAACACCCGUGGCGAAGGCGGCUCUCUGGGCCGAUCCUGACGCUCAGGCGCGAAAGCUGGGGGAGCAAACAGGAUUAGAUA
rnacentral:rRNA from 1 species